rnacentral:misc_RNA from 1 species
GGUAUUACAUCACGUAUAGGUACCACGUUUUCAUGAUCUAAAUGCCUGAGCAGCUUGAUUUCGCGCAGUGUCCGCUUCGCAUCCAUGUGAUUAUCGAAAGCGUUUGCGAUCUUCUUGAUUGCUACCAUCUCUCUGGUCUCCGUGUUCAUCACAGAACAAACGAUCCCAUAGGCGCCACGGCCGAUGGGAGUCAUCGGAGGGCGGUAUUUGGAGGUGACCUCGAAGAGGUUGCCG